CGUAAGGAGAGACUCUGGAAGGAUCCCCCAGCGAAGCACUGCUGGAUUCCUGAUCCCCUGAGACCACGAGGCAGCGUUUGUGGGUUCAGCCACUGAGUGUGGGGAAGUGCGGUCACACAGCCCUGGGAGAAGGGCACUGAUACUGACCAACUUCCCGGGCCCUGGCCCUCCUCCCCUCCCACUCUACUCCUCCUCAGCUUCCUCUGGCCACCUUGGCCCCCUUUCUAACCUCCAGUCCUCUGCUCCAUGGUGCCCUCUGCCAGUUGGAAUGCAUUUGCAUUUGUGCAGGGCUGUCUCCUUCUUUUCCUCUCACAGGAAUUCUCCAUGUCAUCUCAGCACAGCCUUGUCAUACCCCUCACCUGGUGGAAUUUGGGCCUUAGUUGUUUCCCUUGCUCUUUUGCUGUGGAGCAAUCGCUUUUUCCGUUCACAUUUUGGUUUCUCAUUUGUCCAUCUUCUCCUCUAGCUCUCACGAGGAGAACCCGCUGGGCUGAUAAGCCCUGGCACCAUCUGAGUGCGCAGUGCCUGGUGGCUGAAUGAACGGGAGACAGGAUCUGUCCCAGCACAGACCAGCUCCGUUGUUUGAGCCUCACUGAUUUUAGUCCUGUGAGCCCAGAGUCCCUCCACCAUCGGCCUUCUCCGUCCUUGGGAUGACAUGCACCUCUGAUGCCAUCAUCACAAGAAGAAAGAUGACAAGGAAAUACACACAGGAGGGUGUUUCCGGCCAGGUCUUGAAGGCCUCAAGCCCCAGCCCCAGAAGAAGAUGCUGAACCACCUCAAGAGCUACCUCUAGCUCCCACUGUGUUGCCUGCAGCAGCUUCAGAACCUGAGUGGCCUGGAUGGGAACCAGUUGUGAGUGUGAUACAGCUAUGGAUACAGCCGAGGGGAGGCACCUACCUGAAGGAGCCUACUGCAAAGUGUCUGUGGACAACCAGGUGCAUGAUUGAAAGACUUAGGGGCCUACCCCUGUGGGGGACAUUCCAGGCUUAAAAGUGUUCAAGCGGUGAAGUGGGGCGAUAUCCCAGGUGUGACAGCAUGAUCUCAGGAUCCCGGGGAUCCCCAGAAGACCUGCUCGGAAGAAUGCUUCCGAUUUCCCAGACAUCAGUUAGGGAGGAUGGCUGAAAACCAUGAAGCUAGGUCCCGGCUUUCUGCUCUGGGAAGUAAUCUGGGCCCAGACACCACCUUAUUCUAUCCACAAAGUCUCACACAUCUCGCCAUACUGGUUGCAAUGAAGAAUGGACUGUACACCAGAAUUUCUUACCUGUGGAUUAUGCCCAGGAUUUAAGGUGCUAGAGAAACAUUUUUUGACAGAAGGAUGGAGAAAUGGUUCCUCCACAACACCUACUGGAAGGACAACUGAAGGAUUAUUUCAGCACAGGAAGUUCGGACCUGCAGGAGUGAAUGGGAAACAAAGAGCCUGAUGGGCAAGUAGUUAGCCAACAUGUCGGGAAAUCUGAAUUACCAUUAGCUGUAAAACACACGAAAAAGCCAUUUUGGGCGAUGUUAGUGACAAGAUGGAAUGACAUGAUAAUGCACAUUGUUAGAACUGAAGGUACUUAGCAUUAAAGGAUUCUGAGAUUCUCAUUUUGUGCUCUAAGAGGAGUAAUAGACUCAGUUCAGAUGUAAGUUAAACGUGCUUAAGAGUUUUGGUUUUUGAAGAUGUUAUUUAUUUAUUUGUCAGCAAGAGUGUGAGAGCGCACAAGCAGGGGGAGCAGCA